CUGGAAGGGCCUCGGAGGUCAUCUAGAUAGUCCAGCUUUUCCAUCCCAUUUUAUAGAUGAGGAAAUUGAGGCCCAAAGACGAGGGGAGAACUUGUCCAAGGUCUCAGAGCUCAGUGGUGGACCCUGGCCAGCACCUGAGUGUCCUGCUGCCUCUCUCCCUGGACCCAUGCAUCUUCCACUUGGGGGGAUCUGCAUGGGUCCCAAAUGAAGGGGGCAGAGAGAGUCGGGUCAGCUCUCUUGCCCAGUCUGGGGGCCGUGCCUGAGCGAGGCCCUGCAGGGUAGAGGAUGAGGCAGCUUCCCUCUCCUUUUCAGAUGAAGACUUCCGGGGCAGGCAUCAGGAGGCGCCCAAGGUGGAGGAAGGCCUGCGAGAAGGACAGUAAGAGAUGCCAGCAGCUCUUCCUUGCCAGAGAUGAUCUGACCCGGUGGGGGCAGCUGGAAAGCAACACUGGCCCCCAGCUGAAGGGCCCAGCUGCAGCCGGACAGAUGGUGCUUGAGAACCGAGGCCCAGUGAUCCUCCAGCCACAGUCCAGCCCAACCACUGCCACUUUCCAUGGGACUUAGAACUUCGGAGUUGCUGCCUUGCAAUUGGAGGAAGGACCUGGGGCCCCUAUAGGCAGCAGCCAAUUACAGCCCCUUUUGUAGCCAGGCGUUCCUAUGGUCAAAGAGUGGAAAUGCAGGAACCAACCUCCCUUAAAAAAAAAAAAAA
rnacentral:sRNA from 1 species